rnacentral:tRNA from 1 species
AUCCUGUUAGCUCAGUUGGUAGAGCGCUCCACUUGUAAAGAGAGAUCCCGGGUUCGAUACCCGGACCAGGCA